ensembl:lncRNA
CUACCUCUGACAGGACCUCAUCACUUACUCCAUUAGUCAAGCAACGGAGUUAUCGUCAAAUAGUUUUUAAAGCUGAUCGGAAUGAUUUAGAUGAUGAGGUGCACUAAGGACGUCAGGCAGGUUGGCUCCUCUGCAGCUUUAAAAUGUAAGUUAAGAUCAAUGUUGAGACCCAGAUGGGUUAUAAAAUGGAUAUCAGCCAUAUACAAAGUCAGGACACGACAUAACAAAAAUGCAGAGCGCAGUUUGUUGCUCCUGACGCCAAAAGUGGAACUUUUCUCUGUUUCUUCAGGGGGGGGGGGGACUGCCUCAAGCCGAUCUGUAAGCAAGCAGGAAGGAAGCCGGAUGCGUGAGGGACACACGUGAAUUGAUCUUGUCAGCGCGAGUAACCCCAUGACUCAGCCCUGGCCUUAUUACGGAGAUCAGCCGGAUCCAAUCUGUUGCUUACAACCGAAUUAUCCUGGCAUCAAGGCUUUCUGAAACAUCAAACACUCUGGAGGAGUACAGGAAAACCUGGGGAAAAAAAAGCCGCACCAUGUGCAUCACAAGG